GACGAACGCUGGCGGCGUGCUUAAUACAUGCAAGUCGAACGGAAAGGCCAUGCUUUUGCGGGGUGCUCGAGUGCCGAACGGGUGAGUAACACGUGAGUAACCCGCCCCUGACUUUGGGAUAACACUUGGGAAAAGGGGAUAAUACCGGGUAGGAGCUCCUGCUGCACGGGGGGGGAUGGAAAGAGUCGGCGGUUGUGGAUGGACUCGCGGCUUAUCAGCUGCUUGGUCGGGUAGUGGCUUACGAAGGCUUUGAAGGGUAGCCGGCAUGAGAGGGUGACCAGCGACAAUGGGACUGAGAGACGCAGCAGACUCCUACGGGAGGCAGCAGUCGGGAGUAUUGCGCAAUGGCGGGACGCCUGAUGCAGCGACGCCGCGUGCGGGAUGAUGGCCUUCGGGUUGUAAACCGCUUUGGCCGGUGACGAAGAGUGAGUGACGGUAAUGGGUCAAGAAGCACCGGCUAACUACGUG
rnacentral:rRNA from 1 species